UGUGACCGAAGGCCUGCAGUGCCACACUCCGUGUAUUUGACAAGCUGAGUCAGACACUCCGUGUGGUAGAGUGUCAGUUUGUCAAAUACCCCAAGUGAGACAUUUGCCUAG
rnacentral:pre_miRNA from 1 species